GGAUUCUCCUAGUAACGGCGAGUGAACGGAGAUUAGCCCAUCACCGAAGUCUAUUCACAUUUGUGGACAGGACAAUGUGGUGUUAAGGCAUGCGCCUAGAAUCGUUUGUUUGCUCUAAGUCCAACUCCGAUUGCGGCUUUGGAUGUUGUCCGUUGUGGGUGAAAGACCCGUUCGGGCAGACGUUAUUUGUUGUUCAACGGUUCUAGUUGCGUGUGCUGUCGAGUCGGAUUGCUUGAGAAUGCAGUCCAAAGUGGGUGGUAAACUCCAUCCAAGGCUAAAUACUGGCGCAAGUCCGAUAGUAGACAAGUACCGUGAGGGAAAGUUGAAAAGUACUCUGAAGAGAGAGUAAAUAGUACGUGAAACCGUUUGCAGGGAAUCAGAUGGAGUCAAGCCUUGUGCUAGUAAGAUUGUUUCCCGUCCCUUUUUGUGUCAGGAUAUGAGGUUUGGCAACUUGGAAUUAGUUGGGCGCAUUCACGUGCGCUUCAAGUCGUUCUGGGUAGCACGAUUGUCUUUGCCUCUAUCUCCUAGGACGGGAGCCGGAUUUUACUUGUGCACAUCAUGGUCGAUAAUGCUACAGUUGCGAUAGUUUAACAGUACUUGAGUCAACACACGUUGGCUUGGUGCUGGACGGAAGGUGGUACACAUGGUUCUCCGGGCUAUAUGUCCUUAUUGUAUAUUUUCGAAUUUCCGACUAUCGUGAAUCUUGCAGCUGCAUUAUUGCUUGGUGGAUUUCUGGUUGGCGAUCUAUACGAUCUCUGUCAUAUCCAUGCCAUGAUUCUGAGGUAGAUGUUCCUUCUGACCCGUCUUGAAC
rnacentral:rRNA from 1 species